ACAGAUCCUCAGUAAACCCACUUUCCAAAAAGGUCCCUGGCCACAUCCUGAAGCUCAUUUCCACUUCCCAAUCCCAGGACCUUCACACUCAACACUUGUCCAGAGAUGAAGGAUAGCAUGUCACACCACCCUUCUGCUGGGAGACCAGCAGGCCAUUGCAUGAGCUUUAAAGGAUCAUAGAGGCUCUACACAGCAUCAGAAAGACAUGUUGUGAAUAACAAUGAAAUGGUUUCUAUUCCAUCAUCUACCUAUAGACUACCAUCCUCACUUCUCAGUAGUAUCUGGGAAUAAAGACCCCCUGUGAAAGCC
rnacentral:lncRNA from 1 species